rnacentral:rRNA from 1 species
GACAGAGGGUGCAAGCGUUGUUCGGAAUCAUUGGGCGUAAAGCGUACGUAGGCGGCUUUGUAAGUCAGAUGUGAAAGCCCAGGGCUUAACCCUGGAAGUGCAUCUGAGACUGCAAGGCUUGAGUCCUGAAGAGGGCGGUGGAAUUCCUGGUGUAGAGGUGAAAUUCGUAGAUAUCAGGAGGAACAUCUGUGGCGAAGGCGACCGCCUGGGCAGAGACUGACGCUGAGGUACGAAAGCGUGGGGAG